rnacentral:rRNA from 1 species
CUGUCCUUAGUACGAGAGGACCGGGAUGGACAUACCUCUGGUGUACCAGUUGUCGUGCCAACGGCAUAGCUGGGUAGCUAUGUGUGGACGGGAUAAGUGCUGAAAGCAUCUAAGCAUGAAGCCCCCCUCAAGAUGAGAUUUCCCAACUUCGGUUAUAAGAUCCCUUAAAGAUGAUGAGGUUAAUAGGUUCGAGGUGGAAGCAUGGUGACAUGUGUAGCUGACGAAUACUAAUCGAUCGAAGACUUAAUCAAAA